CCUACGGGUGGCUGCAGUGAGGAAUAUUGGUCAAUGGACGAGAGUCUGAACCAGCCAAGUAGCGUGAAGGAUGACUGCCCUAUGGGUUGUAAACUUCUUUUAUAUGGGAAUAAAACGUUCCACGUGUGGGAUUUUGUAUGUACCAUAUGAAUAAGGAUCGGCUAACUCCGUGCCAGCAGCCGCGGUAAUACGGAGGAUCCGAGCGUUAUCCGGAUUUAUUGGGUUUAAAGGGAGCGUAGGUGGAUUGUUAAGUCAGUUGUGAAAGUUUGCGGAUCAACCGUAAAAUUGCAGUUGAAACUGGCAGUCUUGAGUACAGUAGAGGUAGGUGGAAUUCGUGGUGUAGCGGUGAAAUGCGUAGAUAUCAAGAAGAACACUGAUUGCGAAGGCAGUUCACUAGACUGCAACUGACACUGAGGCUCGAAAGUGUGGGUAUCAAACAGGAUUAGAUACCCUUGUAGUC
rnacentral:rRNA from 1 species